CACACACACACACACACACACACACACACACACACACAUACACACACACUUAUUAGACAUUCCUAAUACAAACAGAUAUCAUAGCUUUUGAUUUUGGAGCUGUUAAAAAUCCAUGCGUGCAAUCAGUCGAAGCUAAGGCUAUAUCUACCCCGUCGUGAUGAAAGGUCGUGUCUACGCACCAGGACAUGCGAUAAAGGCCAGACGGUCUCUGGCGUAGAUCACGACAUCCUCAGUUAAGUUGUAAAAAAAAAAAAAAAAAAAAAAAAAGAAAAAAAAAUGUCGCAUCUGUUGUUGUUGCGUACAUUAUACAUGUAUUAAAGAUUUAUGUUAUCAGGGUACCCUCUACUGAUGGUUAUCGGAUUUUACGGGGUAUUCUCAAGAGCCGCCCACACGGCGAAUCCCGUUAAAAACCAAAAGUUUUGUUACGCUCAUUACCUGUAAAAUCUUCAAGUCGUGUUACGCCGCUAUCUACAAGUCGCUGCUAUCUCAACAAUACACGAAACAAUGGCUGAAAAUUACCAGGGUAAGUGUUUUUCAUCUGAGUUAUUUAAAUAUAUUUUAACGUGAAUAUUUGUUUAAUGUCUCGUGGUUAUAAUCUCUAGGUGGCUUUGCGAAUCAGGAUUUCGACGAUGGUCUGGAACAGAUCCUUGAAGAGCUAUUCGAUGAGGCGGAGCUAUUUGCUUGUGAUGAUGACGGUGCUGUUAAUAACGGUGAGCACGUUGAUACCAACAGUCACGUGA